GUAGCAAGAGUAUGAAAAAGUAUGUUUACCUUCCAAGUAAAAGGUCCUUGUAGGUUGCUAUU
rnacentral:tRNA from 1 species